GCAAGUCGCAAGCAAAAGAGAAAGGCCAAUGCAACCAUCAACUCCAAUAGCCCGGUACUCGAUUGGUGACUCGGGACCACACCGAACUACAUAGUCAAAUCACGAGGGUGAUCCUGGCUCAGAAGGAACGCUAGCGAUAUGCUUAACACAUGCAAGUAGAACGUUCGUUGAACCCAUAUCGAGCCCUGGUAUGUCCUGGCGGCGGCUUCCAGGAAAUGGCCAGUGAGGGCCUGGGACAAUGGGGACGGAAGCGGGAACAUGACCAAAACCAAAUGGAACACGUUGGGCGAACGGGUGCGUAACGCGUGGGCUUGAGCGCAUCUGCCGAACAGUGCGGGAGCUAGCAAAAAAGCAAUAAGUGCAUCACUGUUUGAGGAGCCUGCGUCGUAUUAGGUAGUUGGUCAGUGAAUAGCGGGCCAAGCCAUUGAUGCGUUGCUGGUCUUGUCGGAUGAGCAGCCACACUGGGAAUGAGAAGGACGGACUCCGGUUUGGGGAGGAAGCAGUGGGGAAUCUUGGACAAUGGUUCGACGACCGAUCCAGCAAUAUAGCGUGAGUGAACCGACGGGCGAGAUACGCUUGUAAAGCUUGUUCAAUCGACUGGGGCGAUAGCGAUCAUGACAGAACUGGGUUUGAAGCCCCGGCCAACUCCGUGCCAGCAGCCGCGGUAAGACGGGGGGGGCAAGUGUUCUUCGGAAUGACUGGGCGUCAAGGGCAAGUGGGCGGUGGUCGAGUGGUGGGAUUGUCUGUUGCCUGACUGGCUAGCCUAGGUUCAACACCAAUGCCACUGGAGUCACCCGAGUAGAGUGGAAUGUCUCGUUGGGGAGGGGUAAAAUCCGGAGAUCGAAGAUGGAACGCCGAUGAAGCGAAGGCAGCUCUAUUGGGCAGCACGGACGCUGAUUGGUUGCGACAGCAUGGGGAGCGAACGGGAUUAGAUACCCCAUUAGUCCUAGCAGUAAACGAUGAGUGUCAGCCCUCCUUGAGCCUGGGUGGGGCUCGAGCACGCUUGGAACACUCCGCCUGGGAAGUACGGUCAGACCGAAACUCAAAGGAAUUGACGGGGGCCAGAUCAAGCGGUGGAGCAUGUGGUUUAAUUCGAUACAACGCGCAUCACCUUACCCGCCCGAGUAGGAACGAUCGCCCCUUGGCAGAAACGGAAGCAAUGGGGCCUAUGGGGUACUGUCUGCUUCGGACUCGUGUUCACACCGGUGCUGCAUGGCUGUCGUCAGCGCGUCUCGUGAGAUAGCAAUGGGUCAUCCGAUAACGAGCUCAAUCCUACCUAGUACAGUGUUGCUGAGACAUGCCAGUCGUUCCAAUGUCUCUAUACGCAAGCAGCUGGGAUCGUACCGGUCCGUGUUCAGGUCCAUCCACUCUUUCAUGGCAUAAUAGGGGGGGGUUCAUGGCAUCUCACUCCUCGCCAAGUACACCAGUGCUAUUGGAUGAGUCAUGGUGGAAUGGAGGUUUGAUGGUUCACUAGUUGGCAGGGGGUUGCUCGGUGAAAGACCCGCUGCGAGGCGCUUGGAGAGCACCGAGUUCAACUGACGGCGGCGGUAUCAAUGGUCAUCAACUGCUUCCAUCCAAGAGAUCGAGCUGGUUCCAAGGGUAGACAGUGGGUGUCAUCAAGCGCCCUUGGGAUGGCCAUUCAACUGCAUAUGGCACUCGGCGGACUGGUGUGCGUAUUGCCUACUCUUCAGGUCCGAUUGAACCGUUGGUAUGAUGGGGCUAGUUGAGUUGGUGGUGGGCCUGGAAGAGAUGGCCUAUUCAUGGAGUUGUGGUUGAGUUGAUUUGGCACUUCGGUGGGGGGGGGACUGAGUCAUGGGCUGGCGUGCUAAUCACUCUGGACUGCCACUCGAAAAGAUGGAGGUGGUGGGCUGAAGUCAAGUCCGCAUGGCCUGAUGGUCGGGGCGACACACGUGCUACUAGUAGUGGUCCAUGACAAUGGGAAGCAUGGCUGAACGGCUGAGCCAACCCGGUUCGAAGGCAAAGAGGAUACCGCAAUCCGGAUUGUUCUCUGCAAUCGGGAACAUGAAGUUGGAAUCGCUAGUGAUCGCGGAUCAGCAUGCCGCGGUGAAUCUGUACCCUGGCCCUGUACACACCGCCCGUCACACCCCUUUGCUGGUCGUAGCCCGACGCAUCGAUUCGCACCUCCGUCCCGUUGCUCGAUUCAUGGUGCCAUUGUAUAGCUACGACUCCCAAAGGAUAGCGGGUGUUCGGCCAAUGCGUGUACGUUGUGGUGCUCAUGGUCUGGUUCGAUUCAUGCUAUUGCCAUGACCUUUUGCCCGUGGGGUGAAGUCGUAACAAGGUAGCCGUAGGGGAACCUGUGGCUGGAUUG
rnacentral:rRNA from 1 species